GAGGGUACAGCUCAGUGGUAGACGUGUGCUUAAUGUGCACAAGGUUCUGGGUUCAAUCCCCAGUGCCUCCA
rnacentral:tRNA from 1 species